rnacentral:ncRNA from 1 species
GCCAAAUGGGGCCGCUAAGGUUCCCCGCUAUGACGCCAAGCGUUAGGGGAGAAUUGGGAAUUCGGUGAGAGCGACCCACAUCGGGGUUCAAAACCGGAGCCGCCCCCGCGACUGUAAGUGGUGAGCAGGCUGUCGAUUGACCACUGGAGCAUCCGCUCUGGGAAGGUGACAGUUCUGCAUUGACCCGCGAGCCAGGAGACCAGCCUUGCCUCAUAUCAACCC